rnacentral:tRNA from 2 species
GCCGGGAUGGCGGAACUGGCAGACGCGCCAGACUUAGGAUCUGGUGGGGAAACCCUUCGGAGUUCAAAUCUCCGUCCCGGCA